GUAACCCUUAAUUCGGUUCUUUAGCGACCAUCUUUGUGGUUUGAAGAAAAUUGGUAAUGAUCUGGUAAAGUUAUUUCACUAGCAUACUUCAUAUUACACAGUUGUUUCAGAUAUGAUCUCUGAUCAUGCAGUGUCUUUUUUCUCAGAAAAAGGUCUUUUCACAUACAUGAAAGCAAUCUUGACUACUGAAAAAAAGAUGUAGAAGUAACUGUUGCGGCUAAUGGAAAUGAUAAACACGCAAAAUGAUGAAGUAUCAUGCUCACAUAAAGUAAAACAAGUGAGUUAACUUACGCUUUUGUUCUCUGGUAUUUCAGCUAUGUAUUCCAAUUCUCGUGAGCUGAUCGCUGAAUUGCUGUGUUUACGUUUUCUCAACCUCCCUAAAGACUAUCAGAGUGUGUUUUGUACAACUGAACUGGACUGAAAAUUCUCAUAGCUAUAAGUAGAGAUUCUCUAAGUAUGUCGAUGCAGGAUUACAAUAGUUAUAUAAUUAUUAAUUGAUGACCAUGUUGUUAAAGUAGAUAGAAAAUGACAAAUCCACUUGCUAAUCCUACUAAUAUUAUGAGUUGGAAAUAGACGUGGUCCUUUUGAAUGAUGAGUAGUCACAUGCCCCUCUAGUAUAGCUUUUCUAGUCAUCAAACAGUCAGAUAAUUGUUUCUAAUUUAUAACUGCAGGGAUUGUGCUGCUGACAAGAAGAAACUGCCACAAGAAUUUACUGUUCACUUCAUCCCAG
rnacentral:lncRNA from 1 species